AGUAUUCCAUUGUGUAUAUGUAUCACACCUUUAUCCAUUCAUCUACUGAUGGACACUUAGGUUGUUUCCAUAUCUUGGCUCUUGUAAAUAGUGGAAGCCUUCUUUUUAUGAGAUUGUUGCCACUGUGCAGAUCCACAAUCCCUAGCCCACAGUGUAAAGAUCUAACAAGCUCUAACGUGGAAAGUUUUAAGGUUGUCACCAAAACUUAUUUGACAGCAAAACCUGACUUGAACUGAGGUUAGAACUAAUAAUCUACCCGCUUCAAGUGAAUAAUCAUCUAUUGCUACAGAAGUAUGUUUGGUAAUAAAAUACUACCCAGGUUGGUAUAUGCACUACUUUACCUUUCUAAACUCUGAAAAGUUCUAAAUUCCAAAAUGCAUCUGGCUUCAAGGAUUUUGAUAGGAGAUUGUGAACCUGUGACACAUCAGAAAGUUGUGUGGCAGUAGGCGGUGCACACCAUGAAAACUAUACUUCCUCUGUAACUUUCAGCAAAUCAAGAAGUCUUAAAUAAAGUUGAAGUUCAGUAUAAGACUCUCCCAGGAUGGAAAACAGACAUAUCAAAUGCAAGGACAUUUAAAGAACUACCUGUUAAUGCACAGAAUUAUGUUCGAUUUAUUGAAGAUGAGCUUCAAAUUCCAGUUAAAUGGAUUGGUGUAGGUAAAUCGAGAGAGUCUAUGAUUCAACUCUUUUAAAGGUUUCCAGUGACAUAAGAAACACUCCUUGCAACAGGAAGGACUUUCUUAAAUAUUUCAUUUAUGAGCUACAAAUUUCAAGAAUAAAGACACUGAAGUGAGUUGUAAGCUCUGCAGUUGUUCCCUGUCUUUUAGAAGGGAUGUCUGCUGAGGAGAGAGCUGGAGCAUUACAGUGGCAGUGUCCUCAGCUGGCGUGAUGGCCGAAUCGUUUGCUCUCCUGCUGCUCAUGGUGCCACAUUUUCUUUUAAUGUUUAGCAAUAGUAUGAUCCAUGUUGUUUGAAAUCCAAAAUAGUUACUUUUCAAUGUAGCUUUUUUUCAUUAUUUUCAUUGUGUGUUCAUAAGUUUUACCUUCAUUAAAUGGUAAGAACAUUUAAUGCAGUUUUGCACAAAUAUUUUUACAUUCUGAUUGUUCAGUCUGUCAUUGUAAUCUUUGCUGUUAAAAAAAAUGCAGAGAGGGGUUCUGUAAACCUUUGUAAUGCUAUGAAUUCUGUUUAAAUUGUGAACUGUGUAUUUUCAUCUGAGACCAUUGCAAAUUUGAGCUUUGGUGGGCAGAGGGGGUUAUAUUCAGGGGUCCUUUAAUUUGUACAGAACAUAAAACUUAUUUCUCUGUAAAUUAUUUAAUACACUGAACAUUUAAUUAAAUGUUCAAAGAGGAAAUGUGUUGCCUAAAACAACAAUAUUAAUGUUAAAGAAUUAGUCAUUAAAAGGUCUAUUGUGAUAUUUGGUGUAUAUUUUUCUUUAAUUUCAGAUAUUAACUCUGAAAUGCAUAGCUUUCCUUUUUUUAUCAUUUCUAAAUUUAGUGAAUUGAUUUCUGAACAUUGUGCCUGCCAGUAUGCCUACAAAAUCAUCUCUAAGUGUCCAAAUGAACCCAAAUCAUUGGUCAUACUUUUGAUCAUGCCUUUAUUUUUCCUUUGAAAAAAAACAGAUGUUAUUUUGAUAAUAGGUUUAACAUAUUAUGUUGUAGCUUUUCCUUCAGUGAACUAUUUUAAAUGUUUAAAUUAGGUGCCACUUAUUUUAUUAUAUCAUCAAUAGCUGAUUAAAAAGAACCAAAUAUUUGUAGUAUG